rnacentral:rRNA from 1 species
UACAGAGGUCUCAAGCGUUGUUCGGAUUCAUUGGGCGUAAAGGGUGCGUAGGCGGCGCGGUAAGUCGGGUGUGAAAUCUCGGAGCUUAACUCCGAAACUGCAUUCGAUACUGCCGUGCUUGAGGACUGGAGAGGAGACUGGAAUUUACGGUGUGGCGGUGAAAUGCGUAGAUAUCGUAAGGAAGACCAGUGGCGAAGGCGGGUCUCUGGACAGUUCCUGACGCUGAGGCACGAAGGUCAGGGGAGCAAACAGG